GAUGAACGCUGGCGGCGUGCCUAAUACAUGCAAGUCGAGCGAACGGACGAGAAGCUUGCUUCUCUGAUGUUAGCGGCGGACGGGUGAGUAACACGUGGAUAACCUACCUAUAAGACUGGGAUAACUUCGGGAAACCGGAGCUAAUACCGGAUAAUAUUUUGAACCGCAUGGUUCAAAAGUGAAAGACGGUCUUGCUGUCACUUAUAGAUGGAUCCGCGCUGCAUUAGCUAGUUGGUAAGGUAACGGCUUACCAAGGCAACGAUGCAUAGCCGAACUGAGAGGGUGAUCGGCCACACUGGAACUGAGACACGGUCCAGACUCCUACGGGAGGCAGCAGUAGGGAAUCUUCCGCAAUGGGCGAAAGCCUGACGGAGCAACGCCGCGUGAGUGAUGAAGGUCUUCGGAUCGUAAAACUCUGUUAUUAGGGAAGAACAUAUGUGUAAGUAACUGUGCACAUCUUGACGGUACCGAAUCAGAAAGCCACGGCUAACUACGUG
rnacentral:rRNA from 1 species